GCUGACACAUCCCGGCCAAUCUCCAGCAGACCCUCCCUCCCAGACCCUCCCACCUCCUGGACAGCAUCCAUGUUGAAGCUGCCUUCAACAUGGAUGCUGUCCAGGAGGUGGGAGGGUCUGGGAGGGAGGGUCUGCUGGAGAUUGGCCAGGAUGUGUCAG